UGUCCACUAAGCAGUGGGUUGAACCCCAACAAUGUCAAGGUAUUGUCCUGUGUACAGUCAUGGAGGGAGAGCACCUCGGUGUAGAUACGACUUGCAAUGCUCAGAGGAGAGAUGUUGGUAUAGCGCAUAACAAUAAUUAUGGAAAUCACCUACGUUUGGGGGACUCGAUCCAUCAACCUAAAGCUUAUAAUCCACAUACUUGCAAGUACGGUACCACUUGAGCUACCUUGACAUUGUUGAGGGUCUAAUCGGCUGCUUGACG
rnacentral:pre_miRNA from 1 species